rnacentral:rRNA from 1 species
UAAGGAAUAUUGGUCAAUGGACGCAAGUCUGAACCAGCCAUGCCGCGUGAAGGAUGAAGGUCCUCUGGAUUGUAAACUUCUUUUAUCUGGGACGAAAAAGGGGCAUUCUUGCUCAACUGACGGUACCAGAGGAAUAAGCACCGGCUAACUCCGUGCCAGCAGCCGCGGUAAUACGGAGGGUGCAAGCGUUAUCCGGAUUUACUGGGUUUAAAGGGUGCGUAGGUGGGCUUUUAAGUCAGUGGUGAAAUCUCCGGGCUUAACUCGGAAACUGCCAUUGAUACUAUUAGUCUUGAAUAUCCUGGAGGUAAGCGGAAUAUGUCAUGUAGCGGUGAAAUGCUUAGAUAUGACAUAGAACACCCAUUGCGAAGGCAGCUUACUACGGGAUUAUUGACGCUGAGGC